rfam:Cavia porcellus supercont2_1 genomic scaffold, whole genome shotgun sequence.
UGGCGCCUGUGGUGGGGCUCCUGGCAUGAAGGGCUCAACGAGGGAGCCAUCCUGAGAUGCACAUGUAAGAAGGGAACUAAGAGUUUUGUGACCAACGCUACGUGGGAACCUGCCACACUGCUCAAGUCACGGUAAGUGGAUGGCGAUCCUUUUCCUUUUCUCUUGGCACGGGUCAGGCAUUAAGUGACACUUGUGUCAGGUUUAACUAAAGCUUUAAAGACAAGAGGGAUAAAGGCUAAAAAAAUAGAUUUAUUAUAGUACUUUCAAUUUAUUCAUAAGGUUUGCCCUU